rnacentral:sRNA from 1 species
ACUCCGACAUUGUGGCAUGGCAUCGCCAUGGAGCACAAGAACGCCCUCUCAACCUCUUUAGAGGCAUCUCUCCUAAGUAAGCACAUGACGUACUCCAUAACAGAUGUGUCGCAUGUCAACGUGAUCCUCCCAUCUUCGCUUGCAAAGCCAAACUCCUCAUGAGACAUCGUCAGGAGCUCGCCAAAGACUGCCGUGCCAAGGUACGGCAAUGGCACCUCAAACCGCGCCCCGUCGGCAGUGUACACAGCGCAGUGGCCCUUACCGGCAAGAGAUGCAGUGCUGCAGCAAUCGUGGCUGGUUCCUGCCGUGUGCCGGCCACUGCCGGCUGAGGCUGACACCAUCUUCUGCUGCAACUUCCUAGCCAACUGAGCAAGCUUCUUUGCAUGGAUCAUGGUUCUGCCUUGUUUUUGGCGAAAUCAACUGCACUUUGUUGAUCAGAGGCUUGGUUCUUGGAUUGCUAGUAUCUUGUUUGUGAAUGAAGUGGAUGUGUUCAGCUGGCCAAAAUUUAUAGGAGAAAACUGAAGAAGGAAAGAUAGUGAUGGGCCAGGAGACAUGGCCGUGAGUGGUGUUUGUACGUGCAAGGUUGCUGGAUCAAUGAGAUUUUGAUUAGACUGACAUGGGAUCGGCUGCUUGG